CCUGCAGGACACUGGCUCUCGAGGCCUGGGGUUCCCUACCCCUGUUUUAGGUGAAUCAUAUAUGAUACUGCUGAUAAUUCUAAGCAGGUAAUCUGGAACAGAUUAUACUCCGCUGUAUUUUCUGCACUUUUUACCAUUUCCACUGCAGGAAUGCGGCAACUUGAUAGAGUAUGAGAUCCUGCAUGGACCCUCCUCUGCCUGCUCUCUAGGGCAAACCCACCUUCAUUCGACACAUUUAAUGUCUUAAAAUAGCACUAUGGUCAAAGUACUGUUACCAAAAUAUUUUUGCCCUUUUAAAUCGGGAUUUUGUGGUUUGUGUGCUGCCUGGAUUAAUAAAAUCCGUGGAUGGGAGUUGUCUGAUGAGCUGGGAAUUGGAGAAGACAGGGUAAGCACAGAGCAUGAAGAAGCUGAUGAAGUAAAGGUAGGCCAAGUUGCUACCACAGGUGAACUCUUCACCAGGCUCAACGUCGGCUUCUGGGUCACAGCGUCUGCCAGGCAAAGCUGCCAACAUGAUCUCUUGCCACUGCUCUCCAGUGGCACACCUACAAGGAAAAACAGCAAUACCUGUUUGAUUAAUCGCAGUGAGUGAAACAGCCAAAAUUUAAACCUACGUUCAUAACAAAGACUCACCUGCAUGCCGAUCACAGCAUAGAUGAAGAAGAUCAUGGCAAUGAGGAGGCCAACGUAAGGGACUUGACAAAAGUCCAGAGAAGAGUCCGAAUGCCUUCUCCUUUACUGAGGAGUUUGACCAACCUCAAGACUCGGAAAAGACGGAAAAAUGUGAUGGACACUUUUCCACUUUCACCUUUCCCGGGACCCUAGAAAGAAAAAAGGCAGACAGAAAUAGUUAAAUAUCUGAGACUGAAAAAGCAAAUAUGUCAUCAGGAGUGUCAAACAUGUGUCCUGCAGGCCAGGACGGUUUAUGUAAACGGUUAAUUCUGGCCUGCUUGAAGCGCUCGUGUAAAGACUGAAGAUAAGAGCACCGUUUUUGGACUUUUCCCAAGCCAUUUGGAUUGGAAAUCCUUAAGAUGAAUGUUCAAACUAUUAAUUUCCUCCAAUCCAGAAGAGUUUCAAAGCUUUCUUCCUGACAAAGAUGACACCCACACCCUGAGAUAUCACAGAGAAAUGCAGCCAAGAAGCAGCACAGAAGUGUUUAAGUUAUGAGUAGAAAAACUGAGACAUGUCGUUCAAAUUGCACAUAUUUUUCUCAAGGUUAUUAGCUUAUUAGCUUUUGUCCACCCAAAGUGUAUUUUCCAAGAAUUAAAAUGAGUACUUCAGCAUUCAGCUCUUACCUCACCAUGACCGCCUCCGCCCUGAAUCGUUUUGCAUGUGGUCAACAACAGGCAGGCGAUACCAUGCAGGAGAAAAGAAAUUAAAGCACAAAUUAUUUCAUUUUCAGAGUAAUACAUAUGUCCAGCCAUAUAGAAUUUCUUUAAAAAAAAAAAAAAACCAGUAGAAAGGUUUAUUCUAUUAUUUUUCAUCGUGUAGUUCUUAAUCAUUUAUUUAGUUUUUUGUUUAAAAAAGUGGAGCUGACAACCCUGAUGGGAGUAAUAGUUUUCCUUCUGGCAUGAAUUAUCCUCUGAUUUUAUUCCUACAUAAUAGUACCAUAAUAACCGCCACCAAGGUGCUGAGAUACUUUUUAGAAAAAUUCUUUAAUUUGCAGCUAAAUAUGAGCAAAUCCUCAGGAUCUUAAAAUCAAAUUUUAAUCAAAAUUGCACAGAAAAUACUGGGACUGGCGUCACCCAGUGUGUUAACUGCUUACCUCACCCGAAUCGAUCGUGGUGGAUAGCUGCCCCUGCCUGAACCUGGUUCUGCCUAAAGUUUCUUCCUGUUAAAAGGAGGUUUUUCCUUCCCACUGUCACCACAUGCUUGCUGAUAGGGGGUUGCCUCGUUGUUGGAGUUUCUUCCUAACAUUGUAGUGUCUUUAACUUACAAUAUAAAAAGUCUGGAGGUGCUAUGUAAAUAAAUUUUAUUUUAUUUUAUUUUAUUUUAUGACAAAAUACCACAAUGGCCACUAGUACUGGUUUGAGGACCUUUUGCCUUUAGAACUGCCAAAGUUAUUAAUUCUGACCCGACCAUCCAAAUGUCUAAGCAGAAACUAGACUCAUCAGACAAGGCAACAAUUUACAAUCUUUGUCUUAUACAAUUUUGGUGAUCUAGUGCAAAUCAUAGCCUCAUAUUACUCUUCUUAGUUGACAGGAGUGGCAUCUUGCAUCUGCUUCAAGGUUUGAUCUGUUGUGAGUUCACAGAGCCUCUCCUGAACACCUUGAGCAUAAAGAGUAGUUGAAAGAGUCCCUUCCCAUCAACUCCAGGCUGACCAUUCUCCUCUGGCCUCUGAUGUCAACAAUGUAUUGUUUUUUCCCCAGAGAGCAGUUGCUCACUGGAUCUUUUUCUCCUUUUUAGACCAUUCUCUGUAAACCUAGAGAUGGUUUUGUGGGGAAAUCCCAGUUCUCCACCAACAACCAUGUCCUGUUCAAAGUCACUUAAAUGACCUUUCUUCCCCACUCUGAUGCUCUUUCUGAAUUUCAACAGGUCAUCUUGACUAUCUCUAAAUGCCUAAUUUGACUAAUUUAUUGCAUGACUAAUUGUUGGCAUGUGAUUGGCUGAUUAGGUAUUUGGGUAGAUAAGGAAGGUAGCUGGUGAUAUUUUGUUGCUGUGUGAA